rnacentral:rRNA from 1 species
UAGUCCACGCCGUAAACGAUGGAUACUAGGUGCAGCGGGUAUCGACCCCUGCUGUGCCGUAGCUAACGCGUUAAGUAUCCCGCCUGGGGAGUACGGCCGCAAGGCUAAAACUCAAAGGAAUUGACGGGGGCCCGCACAAGCGGAGGAACAUGUGGUUUAAUUCGAUGAUACGCGAGGAACCUUUACCUGGGCUUAAAUGUAGAGUGCAUUAUUUGGAAACAGAUAUUUCCUUCGGGACUCUUUACAAGGUGCUGCAUGGUUGUCGUCAGCUCGUGCCGUGAGGUGUCGGGUUAAGUCCCAUAACGAGCGCAACCCUCAUUGCCAGUUGCCAUCACAUAAAGGUGGGGACUCUGGUGAAACUGCCGGUGUAAACCGCGAGGAAGGUGGGGAUGACGUCAAAUCAGCACGGCCCUUAUGUCCAGGGCUACACACGUGUUACAAUGGCCAGUACAAUGGGCAGCCACCUGGCGACAGGGAGCUAAUCCUCAAAACUGGUCUUAGUUCGGAUCGGAGUCUG